UACGAAGGUCCCGAGCGUUAUCCGGAUUUAUUGGGUUUAAAGGGUGCGUAGGCGGGUUAUUAAGUCAGUGGUGAAAGCCUACAGCUUAACUGUAGAAUUGCCAUUGAUACUGAUGAUCUUGAGUAUGAUUGAGGUGGGCGGAAUGUGUCAUGUAGCGGUGAAAUGCUUAGAUAUGACACAGAACACCGAUUGCGAAGGCAGCUCACUAAGUCAUAACUGACGCUGAUGCACGAAAGCGUGGGGGGCAAACAGG
rnacentral:rRNA from 1 species